GUAUUGCCUUGGCAGGGAGGUAGCGAGGUCAGCACAGCUCAUCUGGGCACGGCUUAUCCGUUGCACUCCCCAUGUGUUUGUUGACCCUGCACUUUCCCCAAAUGUGGGAGAUGCAACUGUGUAAGUUCUGGUAGUAGGCCACUGCUUUCACACUCUCCCCUG
ensembl:snRNA U1 U1 spliceosomal RNA